CGGAAGGGUGGCCGAGCGGUUUAAGGCACCGGUCUUGAAAACCGGCGUGCGAGAGAUCGUACCGUGGGUUCGAAUCCCACCCCCUCCGCCAC
rnacentral:tRNA from 1 species